UUACGGCCGUAUCACAUCGAAACACUAGUUCACAUACGAUCACCGAAGUUAAGUAACGUCGAGCCUGGUCCGUACUUAGAUGGUGGACGGCUUGGGAAUAUCAGACGGUGUAA